rnacentral:rRNA from 1 species
CCUACGGGAGGCAGCAGUGGGGAAUUUUGGACAAUGGGCGCAAGCCUGAUCCAGCAAUGCCGCGUGAGUGAAGAAGGCCUUCGGGUUGUAAAGCUCUUUUGUCAGGGAAGAAACGGUGGGGGCUAAUAUCUCCUACUAAUGACGGUACCUGAAGAAUAAGCACCGGCUAACUACGUGCCAGCAGCCGCGGUAAUACGUAGGGUGCAAGCGUUAAUCGGAAUUACUGGGCGUAAAGCGUGCGCAGGCGGUUUUGUAAGUCUGUCGUGAAAGCCCCGGGCUCAACCUGGGAAUUGCGAUGGAGACUGCAAGGCUUGAAUCUGGCAGAGGGGGGUAGAAUUCCACGUGUAGCAGUGAAAUGCGUAGAGAUGUGGAGGAACACCGAUGGCGAAGGCAGCCCCCUGGGUCAAGAUUGACGCUCAUGCACGAAAGCGUGGGGAGCAAACAGGAUUAGAUACCCUGGUAGUCCACGCCCUAAACGAUGUCUACUAGUUGUCGGGUUUUAAUUAACUUGGUAACGCAGCUAACGCGUGAAGUAGACCGCCUGGGGAGUACGGUCGCAAGNUUAAAACUCAAAGGAAUUGACCGGNNGAGACGNGCGAGGACGACGACGAGGGAGAGG